rnacentral:piRNA from 1 species
UACCAGGACUGAGUCAUGAUUUGGGCA